rnacentral:misc_RNA from 1 species
GUUUAAAGCACUUACCUGUUAUUGGAUUGCUAAUGAAAUGCUCAAUUUGCAAAUGGAUAAUUAUUGACUUUACACUUGUGCAACAAUGUGAAAUGUGGUCAUGUAUCUACCUGUGCAAAGUAAAGUUGAUAAAAAAAGCUGUUUCCACUUUUGCAACUGGACUGAAAUUGUGAUGAUUGAGCUUUUGCUUUGUGAACUGUGAUGCAAUUAUUUGCAUGGCUUCCAUGAGAAUAUCUAAAUUUAGAACCUGAAGUUUGAAUAUUUUUAUUCUAUGCUACAACUGGGUUGGCGGGCUUAUGUCUGGAC